rnacentral:rRNA from 1 species
AGUGAACGCUGGCGGUAGGCCUAACACAUGCAAGUCGAACGGCAGCACAGUAAGAGCUUGCUCUUACGGGUGGCGAGUGGCGGACGGGUGAGGAAUACAUCGGAAUCUACUUUUUCGUGGGGGAUAACGUAGGGAAACUUACGCUAAUACCGCAUACGACCUACGGGUGAAAGCAGGGGAUCUUCGGACCUUGCGCGAUUGAAUGAGCCGAUGUCGGAUUAGCUAGUUGGCGGGGUAAAGGCCCACCAAGGCGACGAUCCGUAGCUGGACUGAGAGGAGGGUCGGCCGCACGGGAGCGGAGACGCGGUCCAGACUCCUGAGGGAGGGAGCAGUGGGGUAUGUGGGGCAAUGGGGGCAAGCCUGGUCCAGCCGUACCGCGUGGGUGAAGAAGGCCUCCGGGUUGUAAAGCCGUUUUGUGGGGAAAGAAAAGCAGCAGGUUGAUACGCCGCUGUUCUGACGGUACCCAAAGAAGAAGCACCGGCUAACUUCGUG